UAUAAACCCUGAACCUGAAAGUAAGAUAGAAGCGGGGGACAAGUCCCUUAGAAAGAAACACUCACCAGAACCCACAGUGGGAAGGCUUAAGCUGUUCAGGAAAAAGGUUUGGUUUAAAAGCCCCG